AGAGGGAGGGUGAACAAGAGGGGAACGGAAGAGGAUGGCUUUUGCCUUUUCUGGUAGCUACAUUCAACGCGAGAAGCUCUUUGUGUUGGAAGUGGUGCUGAGACAGAAAACGAGGAGCAAGCGACUGAAAGGCUGGAAUGGUGUGAGCGCACAGAGCAGCAGACUCCUCUAAGGCUUUUCGUUGCUGUGGUAAGGGCCACACCUCCAGGACUGAACCAUGGAUGACUUUGAAUGGCGCCGGGAGCAGAGGAAACAAAAGAGAGAGGAGAUGCGGCUGGAAGCAGAAAGGAUGGCCUACCGCCGGACUGAGGAGGACGAGGAAGAGGCAGCUCGUGAGCGUCGACGAAGAGCACGCCAAGAUCGUGUACGAAACAAGGAGGGCGAGGAGAUACCUCAGCCAGCCGAGAGCAUGGGGAUAAACAGCCACAGUUCCACAGUAACAGAAACUGUGUCAGGCUCAGAGCUGAGCAAGGCUGGUGAGGGAGAUGAUGAGGAGCAAGCCCUGCUUGAGCGCCUGGCCAAGCGGGAGGAGCGCAGGCAGAGGAGGAUGAUGGAGGCACUGGAUAGACAGAAACAGCUUGAGUCUGACGAUGCUCCAUCCUACAGCACCUACAGUGUGGAGAGCUCCUCUACCACCUCUUACCGAGCAUUCAACAACCAGGAGGAGGAGGAGCUGGCACACAACAGCAAGGAGGAGGAGAAAGAGGAGGUUAAGGAGGAGGUCAUCUCACUGCAGGAGAUGGUGGAGGAGAAGCCACACAGGUCUUACAUGAGGGAGCAGGAAUCCACUGAGGAAAAAACUAAAAUAGAAGAUGAGGACAGUACUGGUCAGGAUGCUGUGCACCCAAGUGAAAAAUGCGAGCCUUUAAAUGAAGACCUAACUGAUUCAACAGUCAUUUCAAAGCAGGAAGUGGAGGGGGAUGCAGCAGAAGUCGAUGAGGAUGUAGAGGAAGUAGAGGAGAAUGAGAUAGAGAUGGAGGAUGAGGACGCAGGGAGGAAGAGCAAGCAGCAGAACGGUGGAGUGUAUGAUGACAGCAAGCACAAAAAGGUGGAGAGAACCCAGAGCCGUGGUAGCGUGCACUCUUCUGAGGGACCUGCAGCAGAGGAAGGGGACGACGGGGAGCAAACACGCCUGGAGGCUGAGAGGAAACUGGAGGAGCUGAAGAGAAGGAGAGACGAGACUGAGAACGAGGAGUUUGAGAGGAUGAAGCAGAAGCAACAGGAGGCUGAGGCCGAGCUGGAGGAGCUAAAGAGGAAGAGGGAGGAAAGGAGGAAGGUGCUUGAGGAAGAAGAGAGGCUGAAGAAACAGGAGGAGGCUGAAAAGAAGGCAAGAGAGGAGGAGGAGAAAAGGAGAAUGAAGGAGGAGAUAGAGAAGAGAAGAGCGGAGGCAGCUGAACGGAGGCAAAAGGUCGAAGAGGAGGUAGACGGGGAAGCCAAACCCUUCAAGUGUGUGAGCCCGAGAGGAUCCUCUCUGAAGAUUGGUGAAAGGGCAGAAUUCCUCAACAGGUCAGCGCAGAAGAGUGCCGUGAAGACAUCUCUCACUCCUGUGGUGUCGAAGAUUGAUAACAGACUGGAGCAAUACACCACGGCUGUGCAGAGUAAUAAAGAGGUGCGCACGCCACGCGUGGCUGCAAUCGACCUGCCUGUGGUUUCUGAUGGCGUGCGGAACAUUAAGAGCAUGUGGGAGAAGGGCAACGUUUUCAGUUCCGGCAUCAGCACACCCUCCAGCAACAAGGAUGCAGCUGGAAUAAAAGUGGGCGUUGCAGGCCGUAUCAACGAUUGGCUGAAUAAAACACCAGAGACGGGCAAAACCCCAGGAGGGAGACCUGUGGACCUGAAACCUGGCGAUGUUUCUGGCAAGCGCAAUCUAUGGGAAAACAAAGGCUCCUCUGCUACCAAGACUUCUUCCUGCUAGUUGUCUUCAGAUUUGGCUCCUUGAGGAGGUGACAAGCAGAGGAGAGAGCAAAUCUGUUGCCAAUGGAAUGGGUCACUAACCUUUCCAAGAAGCCUCAGCACCAGGGACCAAGUGAAAGCACCAUAUUCCUUUCACAUGCAUGUUCUCGUACCAAAAAUACCAAAUUAGUCUUUUCUUCUUUGUUUAUGGUCCAGACAUAUCUCAUAUCUCAGAUGAGGUAGAAUUAAAAGACACUCAUAUUUUUUAUUAUGCCAUCAAAGGCCUACAGACCGCACUGUCCUGAUUACAGCGUCGAGUUUACAUGAAGCCACUAUUAUAGUGCGAAAUGUCGACAUUUAGAUCAACUGAGAUUCUAAAAUGACCCAAUUUCUUUAGAUGGAUUCGAAAUAUUUAAAUACCUUGCAUAAUUUCACUAGUCAUUUUAAACAGCUUAUUACGUGUUGCUUUUUCAAAAUCUCUUCUCUGCUAGUCACCGUUCACACUUUUAAUUUAUAAUUAAAGCAAAGCUUGACAUGUUCAUAUUUUAUUCAUGUUCACCAGUCCAGGGCAAAUAAAUAUGGGCACCCAUAGAGUAGUGUAUUUUUUACUUUUUGUCAAAAGUGACACAUUUUUAAUAGUGAAACUAUGGUCGUAUUAAUAUAUGUUAGCACAGUGUAUGUUUUGUAAUUUACUAUAUAUUUUGUAUGUUGCCACUUUAUAUAAAAUGACAUUCCUGCUUCUGCUCUCGAUAUUAAGAUCGGAAUACAGCCAUUAUAGACAUUCUUGAUUAUCAUUACAGUAUCUUAUUUUUUUCACUUUUGUUUCAAGUGAUUUUUUUUUAAGUCCAUAUAUACAACACGGUAUAUCAGGUUUCAUGUAGACAUAAAGGCUUCGCUCUGCACUGAAUAAAGGGAACAUAAAUUUGAAAAAAAUAACAUUUCUCUGCAUUUAAAUGCUUGCUUGAUUUGCCAUUAUCAGUUUAAAAGUGUGUUCAGUGUGACAGAUGGCUAUAAGCCAUUACUGUGGACCAAUUAAUGUUGUCGGUUUGUUUUUUGGGGGGUUUCCACCAUUCAGCACUUUUUUUUUUAAGGAGUAGAAGACUAGAUGUUGAACUGCAUCAUUGGACUGUAGAAUGUGCUGGUGGGCAGAUGGUCAGUGUCUUCUUUAAUCAGCAGGUUUCAUUGGUUAAUAGUUAUGUGACUGAUGGUGUAUGUGUUUGUGGCUUGUGUUGUGUUGUUGGGGUUAGUUUUCCCCCGAUUAGUAUUUUGGUUCAUGGUUUAAAAUGUGAAAAAGUCAGAUUUUUGGUCUUUGACAAUCAAUUAAUAGACUAAGUUGUACUGAACCUUGAUUAAAAUCGGGGGUUAUUUUCUGCAAGUGAUGCCAACUUUAAUUCUUUACCUUUUAACACCCAGACCAUUUAUUGUAACCAAGUUUCACAAAAGACAUCUUUUUAAAUAUUGUAUCAUUGUCUCAAAACAGCAAUAAAAAGAUCAAUGUAUAAAAAAAAAAA